UCUUGUCAGCGGCCGCUCUCUGUACUGAUGACCCUUACAGAGCUGCUUUUUGCUUCUGGGUACGUUUACUGCACUCCAGAUGUGUGCUGGCUCCAGAGUGGCUGCAAAGCGCAGUGAACUGGCAUCCCAGGGCUCAUCAAUCCGUGGGGUAGAACGCCACAGUGGUGCUCUUGGCGCAGGAUACAGGAAGGAGCACAGAUAUUCAGUCUCAGAGCUUCCAGAGAUGCUGGAAGGAUCUGUUCCAUUUUCCAACUUGCCAACUGGCUCCAAAUGUAACCCUUCGCUGCAGUCUGAGGAAAAUGCAUUCCAUUGAGCAACAAAAUGGAUUCUGUCCAGGGGACUAAACCUGAAUCUGUGCGAUACUGAUGAAUGGCAGGAUCCUGGAUGAAAUAUUGACAGCAGAAGCAGCAAAUUAAGUGGCUGCCACCAGAAUUGCCAGCCAAUUAAAUAGCUUGGCAGCCUUGGCAGUGCCACUAUUAGAGAUGGCCACAGCUGAGGUUGCAGGAAGAAGGGGGUGUAUUUCCAUCACCAAUUGAGCAAGUCAUUGAUCUGCCUAGCAAGCAUCGGUAUCCUACAUGGAUCGAGUGAUAGACAUCAUUCUGAUCUUUGAUUCAAACAGUUACCUAAUCCAGGGGUGUCAGUACUUUCCAGAUUCCACUACCUCAUGGAAUGACCUGCCUGAUUUGCUCAAACAUCCGUGAUUGAGUAUAAGCCUGUUCAGUCACAUGAAGACCCAUGGCAGUAACUCACAACCCUGAGGAGGCAUCAUCCUCAAAUUGAAGGUCAGCCACAAUGGCUCAGGAAGCUAAUGAAGGAAAGAGUAUUGGAAGAUUUGAUUCAUAAUUCAAGAGUUGAGAGAAGUGAACACAUGGGUUAUAUUGUGGAAGUGGAAGUAAUUAAGAUAACAUUUCAAUUAAAUGUAUUGAAGCUAUGUGAAUACACUGAACAGAUAUUUAGUGUACUACUUCUAAAUAAAUAAAGACUUCCUUUUAUUUUAAAUCU